rnacentral:rRNA from 1 species
UAGAGUUUGAUCCUGGCUCAGGAUGAACGCUGGCGGCGUGUCUAAGGCAUGCAAGUCGAACGCGCUUUUUUAACUUCGGUUUUGAGAGCGAGUGGCAAACGGGUGAGUAACACAUUGGUAACUUACCCCGAAGACGUGAAUAACCCCGCGAAAGCGGGGCUAAUACACGAUAAUAAUGGGGGGACGAAAGUCAUUCCCAUUUAAAGUUCCGACGCUUCGGGAAAGGCCUAUGGCCUAUCAGCUAGUUGGUGAGGUAAUGGCUCACCAAGGCUCUGACGGGUAGCGGGUGUGAGAGCACGACCCGCCUCACUGGGACUGAGACACUGCCCAGACUCCUACGGGAGGCUGCAGUCAAGAGUAUUUCGCAAUGCCCGCAAGGGUGACGGAGCGACGCCGCGUGAUCGAUGAAGCCCCUCGGGGUGUAAAGAUCUUUUAUUGGGGACGAACUAAUGACGGUACCCAAGGAAUAAGAGGUUGCUAACUCUGUGCCAGCCGCCGCGGUAAUUC